CCUACGGGAGGCAGCAGUGGGGAAUAUUGCACAAUGGGGGGAACCCUGAUGCAGCGACGCCGCGUGAGUGAAGAAGUAUUUCGGUAUGUAAAGCUCUAUCAGCAGGGAAGAAAAUGACGGUACCUGACUAAUAAGCCCCGGCUAACUACGUGCCAGCAGCCGCGGUAAUACGUAGGGGGCAAGCGUUAUCCGGAUUUACUGGGUGUAAAGGGAGCGCAGACGGCUGUGCAAGUCUGGAGUGAAAGGCGGGGGCCCAACCCCCGGACUGCUCUGGAAACUGUAAAGCUGGAGUGCAGGAGAGGGAAGCGGAAUUCGUGGUGUAGCGGUGAAAGGCGUAGAUAUUAGGAGGAACACCAGUGGCGAAGGCGGCUUACUGGACUGCAACUGACGUUGAGGCUCGAAGGCGUGGGGAGCAAACAGGAUUAGAUACCCGGGUAGUC
rnacentral:rRNA from 1 species